UACGAAGGGGGCGAGCGUUGUUCGGAAUUACUGGGCGUAAAGGGCGCGCAGGCGGCCUUAGAAGUCAGAUGUGAAAGCCCCGGGCUCCAACCUGGGAAUGGCAUUUGAUACUCUGAGGCUGGAGUACGGGAGAGGAGAGUGGAAUUCCCAGUGUAGAGGUGAAAUUCGUAGAUAUUGGGAAGAACACCGGUGGCGAAGGCGGCUACUCUGGACCGUAACUGACGCUGAGGCGCGAAAGCGUGGGGAGCAAACAGGG
rnacentral:rRNA from 1 species